rnacentral:rRNA from 1 species
GACGAACGCUGGCGGCGUGCUUAACACAUGCAAGUCGAACGGAAAGGCCCUGCUUUUGUGGGGUGCUCGAGUGGCGAACGGGUGAGUAACACGUGAGUAACCUGCCCUUGACUUUGGGAUAACUUCAGGAAACUGGGGCUAAUACCGGAUAGGAGCUCCUGCUGCAUGGUGGGGGUUGGAAAGUCUCGGCGGGUGGGGAUGGACGCGCGGCUUAUCAGCUUGUUGGUGGGGUAGUGGCUUACCAAGGCUUUGACGGGUAGCCGGCCUGAGAGGGUGACCGGCGACAUUAGGACUAAGGGACGGCCCAGACGGCUACGGUAGGCAACAGUGGGGAGUAUUGCACAGUGGUCCGAAGCGUGUGGAGGCAGCGCCGCGGGCGGAAAGACGGCUUGCGGGGUGUGAACCGCUUUCGCCUAAGACCAAGCGUGUGUGACGGUAAUGGGAAAAGAAGCACCGGCUAACUUCGUG